ensembl:lncRNA
CUUUUACAUUAAUAUAACACUGAUAAUUAGAAGACUUACAGUAGAGUAAGCUCUGUUUAUAGAAAGCCCAGAGGUUUUUUUUUAUUUUUUUUAGGAACUCAUUGGUCUUUGGCCUCAGUGAACUUAUGCACUAGAGUAAUAAAAAUACAAAAUAUUUGUGGAUAAUUUUGGCUGUGUUCACUAAAAAAAAACUAAGGUGCAUUAGCUUAAAAAAAGAAAUAAUAAAACAAACCUUGACCGGGAAUAUCGUAUAACAAGGUGGGGAAAUCACAGAAAAGUACAAGAAUUAUCAUCAAAAUUAUUGUGGACGAGCCUGAGUCGGAUCAGGAAGCUGUUAGCAGGAGGCUCCGACUUUGCAGCUGUCAACAGAACAGAAGCAAACUGCUCCAGACCUCAUGUAUUUCAGCAGAGGAAUUUACGGCGCUGCAAGUAUCUGCUUUCCAUUCAGACCAACCGGUCCAUUACCAAAGCAAAGCCACGGCAUCGUAAGAGGUCACGAUCUGUGGUCUGGCCACCCCUCGCUGGCUGGACAUCUUCAGUGAAAAGGAAGCCUUCUUUGAACAACACAUUUUCUCAGCAGCUUUCUCCUCUCAACCUUAGUGUUAGGAUGACACAGGAGGACAAACUGUUUGUAGAUGAUAAGAUUUCAAGAUUAAAUGCAGAUUUGAAGCAGAACUCAGAUGCCUCCAGCGAACAGAGGACGACUAAUGUCCGUGGCAAACUGAACAAGCAGGAAGUGUUUGAUGGCAUAGAAGGAACGCGGCGGGUGCUGAAGUUUGAUGAAACGCCUGAAACUGUUGCUGUGGAAGCUGCGGAACAGAGGAAAAGCCCUCGGCAGAAGCACAAACGUGGAGUGAUUCGUGAAGCUCAGAAUGGUUUCCAGAAUGAGCAGCAGGAGGAGAUUUCUGAGGAUUCGGAUGGGUUCAGGACUCCCACAGAUCUGUUCAGCGUGAAGCCUAAAAUGAAAGGAGGGAACCAGAAGAAAGUCUCUGCCUCUGGUGUAACAAAACCUGCCGCUCAGAAGCCCAACUUCAUGUCCAUGUUAGCCACUCUGGUGAAGAAUCAGAAUCAGAUUAUUAAAGAGUCCUGCAAAUGAGUCUCUAUGAAAGUCCUGCAAUUAGAUUUGUGUGUCAUUUUGUAUAAAUGAAGAGACAUGCAUCGUUGCUGUUGAGAUUUGUUUUAUUGUGUAACUU